rnacentral:rRNA from 1 species
CGAACGGGUGAGUAACGCGUGGGGAAUCUGCCUUUGAGCGGGGGACAACAUUUGGAAACGAAUGCUAAUACCGCAUAAAAACUUUAAACACAAGUUUUAAGUUUGAAAGAUGCAAUUGCAUCACUCAAAGAUGAUCCCGCGUUGUAUUAGCUAGUUGGUGAGGUAAAGGCUCACCAAGGCGAUGAUACAUAGCCGACCUGAGAGGGUGAUCGGCCACAUUGGGACUGAGACGCGGCCCAAACUCCUACGGGAGGCAGCAG